rnacentral:rRNA from 1 species
AAUCUGACCUCAAAUCAGGUAGGGCUACCCGCUGAACUUAAGCAUAUCAAUAAGCGGAGGAAAGGAAACUAACAAGGAUUCCCUCAGUAACGGCGAGUGAACCGGGAAGAGCUCAAAUUUGUAAUCUGGCGUGCUCUGUGCGUCCGAGUUGUAAUCUAUAGAAGUGUUUUCCGUGCCGGAUCGUGUCCAAGUUCCUUGGAAUAGGAUAUCAUAGAGGGUGACAAUCCCGUCCUUGACACGACUACCGGUGCUCUGUGAUACACUUUCUACGAGUCGAGUUGUUUGGGAAUGCAGCUCAAAAUGGGUGGUGAGUUCCAUCUAAAGCUAAAUAUUGGCGAGAGACCGAUAGCGAACAAGUACCGUGAGGGAAAGAUGAAAAGCACUUGAAAGAGAGUAAACAGUA